UACGGGGGGGGCAAGCGUUGUUCGGAAUUACUGGGCGUAAAGGGCGCGUAGGCGGCCUUCUAAGUCGAACGUGAAAUCCCCGGGCUCAACCCGGGAACUGCGUCCGAGACUGAAAGGCUUGAAUCCGGGAGAGGGAUGUGGAAUUCCAGGUGUAGCGGUGAAAUGCGUAGAUAUCUGGAGGAACAUCGGUGGCGAAGGCGGCAUCCUGGACCGGUAUUGACGCUGAGGCGCGAAAGCGUGGGGAGCAAACAGG
rnacentral:rRNA from 1 species